AUUGAACGCUGGCGGCAGGCCUAACACAUGCAAGUCGAGCGAGCGGCGGACGGGUGAGUAAUGUAUGGGGACUGCCCGAUAGAGGGGGAUAACUACUGGAAACGGUAGCUAAUACCGCAUACUAUCGGAUAACCCAUAUGGGAUUAGCUAGUAGGUGAGGUAAUGGCUCACCUAGGCGACGAUCCCUAGCUGGUCUGAGAGGAUGAUCAGCCAAACUGGGAGGGAGACAGGGCCCAGACUCCGACGGGGGCAGCAGGGGGGAAUAUGGCACAAUGGGCGCAAGCCGGAUGCAGCCAUGCCGCGGGUAUGAAGAAGUCCCUAGGGUUGUAAAGUACUUUCAGUCGGGAGGCGUUACCGACAGAAGAAGCACCGGCUAACUCCGUGCCAGCAGCCGCGGUAAUU
rnacentral:rRNA from 1 species